UGGCGUAAAGAGCUCGUAGGCGGUUUGUCGCGUCUUCUGUGAAAUCUCGAGGCUCAACCUCCAGGCUUGCAGUGGGUACGGGCAGACUUGAGUGCGGUAGGGGAGAUUGGAAUUCCUGGUGUAGCGGUGGAAUGCGCAGAUAUCAGGAGGAACACCGAUGGCGAAGGCAGAUCUCUGGGCCGUUACUGACGCUGAGGAGCGAAAGGGUGGGGAGCAAACAGGCUUAGAUACCCUGGUAGUCCACCCCGUAAACGUUGGGAACUAGUUGUGGGGUCCAUUCCACGGAUUCCGUGACGCAGCUAACGCAUUAAGUUCCCCGCCUGGGGAGUACGGCCGCAAGGCUAAAACUCAAAGGAAUUGACGGGGACCCGCACAAGCGGCGGAGCAUGCGGAUUAAUUCGAUGCAACGCGAAGAACCUUACCAAGUCUUGACAUAUUCGAGAACGGGCCAGAA
rnacentral:rRNA from 1 species